GUGUGGUUUUUGUUGCUACCACAUGGCUACCAGCAACAACCGAGUUGGUCAUGAGAUUUCAUGUGGUACUGAGUUUCUGAGCCUCAUAAGAAUACUUGGAGAAGGCUUUGAUGAUUGGGUAGAAUUUAUGCAAGGAUGAAUUUUUAUUGUGUUGGCGGC